rnacentral:tRNA from 1 species
ACUUAAGGACCGCCAGGCCCGCUAUUUGAUUUGCACUCAAACGUCUUCUUUAAGUCCU